rnacentral:rRNA from 1 species
GGUGAUGGUGUGGCGGAGGGUGGGGGAAUAGGAGGGGGGCGGGGGGGGCUCGGAAUGACGGGGGGUAAAGGGGGCGGAGGGGGGUGUGACAGUCGGGCGGGAAAUUCCUGGGGUCAGACUGGGGGCUGCGUUCGAUACGUGCAGACGAGAGUGGGGAAGAGGGUCGUGGAAUUCCCAGUGUAGAGGUGAAAUUCGUAGAGAUUGGGAAGAACACCGGUGGCGAAGGCGGCGACCUGGUCCUUGACUGACGCUGAGGCGCGAAAGCGUGGGGAGCAAACAGGAUUAGAUACGCCUGUAGUC